GAAAUGCGAUAAGUAAUGUGAAUUGCAGAAUUCAGUGAAUCAUCGAAUCUUUGAACGCACCUUGCGCUCCUUGGUAUUCCUUGGAGCAUGCCUGUUUGAGUAUCAUGAAAUCUUCAAAGUAAAUCUUUUGUUAACUCAAUUGGUUUCUACUUUGGUAUUGGAGGUCUUUGCAGCUUCACACCUGCUCCUCUUUGUUCAUUAGCUGGAUCUCAGUGUUAUGCUUGGUUCCACUCGGCGUGAUAAGUUAUCUAUCGCUGAGGACACUGUAAAAGGUGGCCAAGAGAAAUGCAGAUGAACCGCUUCUAAUAGUCCAUUGACUUGGACAAUACUUUUAUGAUCUGAUCUCAAAUCAGGUAGGACUACCCGCUGAACUUAAGC
rnacentral:misc_RNA from 1 species